rnacentral:rRNA from 1 species
AGUGAACGCUGGCGGCGUGCUUAACACAUGCAAGUCGAACGAGAACGGGAUAUAGCUUGCUAUAUUUGUCAGCUAAGUGGCGCACGGGUGAGUAAUGUAUAGAUAACCUGCCCUCUAGAAAGGAAUAACAGUUGGAAACGACUGCUAAUGCCCUAUAUGCCUUUAAUACAUAAGUAUGCAAGGGAAACGCUUUAGUGCUAGAGGAUGGGUCUGUAUGGUAUCAGCUUGUUGGUGAGGUAAUGGCUCGCCAAGGCUAUGACGCCUAACUGGUUUGAGAGGAUGAUCAGUCACACUGGAAAUGAGACACGGUCCAGACUCCUACGGGAGGCAGCAGUGGGGAAUAUUGCACAAUGGACGAAAGUCUGAUGCAGCAACGCCGCGUGGAGGAUGACACAUUUCGGUGCGUAAACUCCUUUUAUAUAGGAAGAUAAUGACGGUACUAUAUGAAUAAGCACCGGCUAACUCCGUGCCAGCCGCCGCCGUAAUAC